rnacentral:lncRNA from 1 species
CCAGAGGAGUGCCCUGAUGUGAAACAGGGUUUCUGGAGCCAGUCAGCAGGGCCCCGGCUAGGCCUCCCUCACUACUGCUCGGCGGACCAGGGGAAGCAGUGGGCAUGGCCCUCAAGAGCCGGCUGCAUUCUUCCAAAGCCAGAGGGAUGUCCUUUUCUUCUCUGUUUCUUUGGAUCUGAUGGUUGGCGUUCCCCCCAGUGCUCCCACGCACAUACCAGCCUACUCGAGCGAGCGAGAGCCCCGCCUGCCAGAAGCCUCCGCCGUCUGGGGGACAGGAGGUGCAAUUCCUUUCAGUUUCGAAGGUUAGAAGUUCAAGAUAAAGUUAAUAAAACACUGUUUCACAAU